rnacentral:rRNA from 1 species
GACGAACGCUGGCGGCGCGCCUAACACAUGCAAGUCGAACGGAGUUUCCCCUUCGGGGGGAGCUUAGUGGCGGACGGGUGAGUAACACGUGAGGAACCUGCCUUUGAGAGCGGGAUACCGUCUGGAAACGGACGUUAAUACCGCAUAAUGCAGCGAGGCCACAUGGCCAUGCUGCCAAAGAUUUAUCGCUCAAAGAUGGCCUCGCGCCUGAUUAGAUAGUUGGCGGGGUAACGCCCACCAAGUCUGCGAUCAGUAGCCGGACUGAGAGGUCGAACGGCCACAUUGGGACUGAGAUACGGCCCAGACUCCUACGGGAGGCAGCAGUGGGGGAUAUUGCACAAUGGGCGAAAGCCUGAUGCAGCGACGCCGCGUGAGGGAAGACGGUUUUCGGAUUGUAAACCUCUGUCUUCGGGGACGAAACAAGACGGUACCCGAGGAGGAAGCCACGGCUAACUACGUAG